rnacentral:sRNA from 1 species
UCCUACCCCCGAUGGUAGCGGCUAUCCUUGCCCGCAUCGGGCAGUGUAGCGUUGCGGCAAGAUAAUAGCGGACAGCGGGACGAAUG